rnacentral:lncRNA from 1 species
UGAUGUCUGUUACAGAUGACUGCUAUAAUUCAGCCAGAGGCUGCACUGCCACUCUGGGCAACUUUGCCAAGGCCAGCUUUGAUGCCAUCUCCAAGACCUACAGCUAUCUAACCGCUGACCUCUGGAAAGAGACUGUGUUCACCAAGUCUCCCUACCAGGAAUUCACUCACCAUCUUGUAACCAUCACCAGAGUUUCUGUUCAGAGGACCCAGGCUCUAGCUGUGGCUACCACAUAAGGGCUUUUAAUACAAGAAAAAUGAAUGA